rnacentral:lncRNA from 1 species
AUUGACUAUACUCUCGCUAUCUGAAAUCAAUUAUCAAACUACAAAAUACCAAGGCUUACUACUUUCAUCUUAAUUCAAUCUAUAAUCCAUUCUACGACUAUCAAUUCAACAAUACUUCCAUAUUCUUAUCCAUUCAUCUCCCACUUACUCUCUUUGUACUUUAUAUAUAUAUUCAAUUACUGAUUUCUAGCUUAUCUAUUGUAUUCAGUUUCUCAAUUCAUCACACAGAAUUCGAUAUCUUGACUUACGACUCUCACACUCUGGCUCCCAACUUACGACUAUCAUAGUCUGACUCUCGACUUACCACUCUCACAAUCUGGCUCUCAGCUUAUGACUCUCACAGUCUGGCUCUCGCUUUACAACUCUCAUAGUCUAGCUCUCGACUUACGACUCUCACAGUUUGGCAUUCCAGACUAACUUCUUAGUAUUCAAAAACUAUCUAUUACUCAUCAACAACAAAGAAUCAAAAAGAGGUAGCACCAAGCUUACCCCGACUUACGACUAUCACAGUUUGGCCCUUGGCUUAUGACUCUCACAGUCUAGCUCUUGGCUUACGAGUAUUACAGUCUGGCUCUCGGCUUACGACUCUCACACUCUAGCUCCGAUCUCUCUUUCCUCAACAUCUUUAUCCUACCAAAAAAAUGAUCCGUCGGCCAACGAAUUUCAAAGGUUAUGAC